rnacentral:rRNA from 1 species
CACGCCGUAAACGAUGAUCACUCGCUGUUGGCGAUACACAGUCAGCGGCUAAGCAAAAGCAUUAAGUGAUCCACCUGGGGAGUACGGCCGCAAGGCUGAAACUCAAAGGAAUUGACGGGGGCCCGCACAAGCGGAGGAACAUGUGGUUUAAUUCGAUGGUACGCGAGGAACCUUACCUGGGCUUAAAUGUAGAGUGCAUUCUGCUGAAAGGCGGAUUUCCUUCGGGACUCUCUGCAAGGUGCUGCAUGGUUGUCGUCAGCUCGUGCCGUGAGGUGUCGGGUUAAGUCCCAUAACGAGCGCAACCCUUAUCGUUAGUUGCCAGCGGGUAAUGCCGGGAACUCUAACGAAACUGCCGGUGUAAACCGA